UACGAAGGGGGCUAGCGUUGUUCGGAAUUACUGGGCGUAAAGGGCGCGUAGGCGGUCCUGAUCGUCGGAUGUGAAAGGCCUGGGCUCAACCUGGGAAUGGCAUCCGAUACGGCGGGACUGGAGUGUGGGAGAGGUUGGGUGGAAUUCCCAGUGUAGAGGUGAAAUUCGUAGAUAUUGGGAAGAACACCGGUGGCGAAGGCGGCCAACUGGACCACACUGACGCGAGGCGCGAAACGUGGGGAG
rnacentral:rRNA from 1 species